UAGGGAAUCUUCCGCAAUGGGCGAAAGCCUGACGGAGCAACGCCGCGUGAGUGAUGAAGGUCUUCGGAUCGUAAAACUCUGUUAUUAGGGAAGAACAAAUGUGUAAGUAACUAUGCACGUCUUGACGGUACCUAAUCAGAAAGCCACGGCUAACUACGUGCCAGCAGCCGCGGUAAUACGUAGAUGGCAAGCGUUAUCCGGAAUUAUUGGGCGUAAAGCGCGCGUAGGCGGUUUUUUAAGUCUGAUGUGAAAGCCCACGGCUCAACCGUGGAGGGUCAUUGGAAACUGGAAAACUUGAGUGCAGAAGAGGAAAGUGGAAUUCCAUGUGUAGCGGUGAAAUGCGCAGAGAUAUGGAGGAACACCAGUGGCGAAGGCGACUUUCUGGUCUGUAACUGACGCUGAUGUGCGAAAGCGUGGGGAUCAAACAGG
rnacentral:rRNA from 1 species